GAUGAAGAACGUAGCGAAAUGCGAUAAGUAAUGUGAAUUGCAGAAUUCAGUGAAUCAUCGAAUCUUUGAACGCACAUUGCGCCCCUUGGUAUUCCGAGGGGCAUGCCUGUUCGAACGUCAUUUUGACCACUCCCGCUUGCGGGGUCUUGGGCCUUCGCCUCUGGGCGGGCCUUAAAAUCAGUGGCGGUGCCGUCCGGCUCUAAGCGUAGUAAAUCUCCUCGCUAUAGGGUUCCGGAGGGAUGCUGGCCAACAACCCCCAACUUUUAAGGUUGACCUCGGAUCAGGUAGGGAUACCCGCUGAACUUAAGAAUAUCAAUAAGCGGAGGA
rnacentral:misc_RNA from 1 species